GCUCUACAUAUGUUCGAUGAGUCGCGAUAGUAUUUUAGAGUGGACGAGAACAAUGGAGAUGUCAUUCUGAAGGAAUCCUUUAUCACAGUCCCGGCACAGACGCAGCAGAUCGCUGUGCAGGCGACCGACCAAGGUCCGGCCGACCGUCCGACCGCGCCAGGCUACUGUGAAGUCACGAUCUCCGUCUACGACCCCACGGGAGGCAAGCUGCCGCCCGUCUGGAUCGACACGCCCGCGCAGCCAAUCGCGCUCGAGGAGAACGUGCCGCUGCGGGAUGCUGUCUUGCAGCUGUCCGUCGACGCGCGCGGCAACGUCGAGUUUCCCGAGCUGUACGGCGCGAUCACGAACACGAACGCCGAUCAUCAGUUCCGCUUCACACCUGACGACAACAAGGAUUACUCCGGCACGCUGCGCGUCGAGGCCAACACCCUCGACUACAACACCGUCAACGUCUACCAGGUGCCCGUGAGGGCCUAC